rnacentral:rRNA from 1 species
GACAGAGGGUGCAAACGUUGUUCGGAAUCACUGGGCGUAAAGCGCGUGUAGGCGGUCUAGCAAGUCGGGCGUGAAAUCCCACGGCUCAACCAUGGAAGUGCACUCGAAACUGCUGGACUAGAGUCCUGGAGAGGAAGGCGGAAUACUCGGUGUAGAGGUGAAAUUCGUAGAUAUCGAGUGGAACACCGGUGGCGAAGGCGGCCUUCUGGACAGUGACUGACGCUGAAACGCGAAAGCGUGGGGAGCAAAC